GUAGGUGAACCUGCGGAAGGAUCAUUACAGUAGUCACCCGGGGCGCCGCAAGGCCUCCCGGGUAACCUACCACCCUUCGUUUAUUACACUUUGUUGCUUUGGCAGGCCUGCCCUCGGGCUGCUGGCUCCGGCCGGCGAGCGCUUGCCAGAGGACCUAAACUCUGUUUGUCUAUACUGUCUGAGUACUAUAUAAUAGUUAAAACUUUCAACAAUGGAUAUCUUGGUUCUC
rnacentral:misc_RNA from 1 species